GCCUUCUCGAGGCUGCUGGCGUGCGUCGCCGAAACAGCAAGUAGCGUCACCGUCACCUCAUCCGCGGGCCCGUAACCUCACACGGUAACGACGUAUAGUUCAACAAUACCCCAAGAUUUAGAGGAAGGACAACCACAGUUUGGAGUAGUACAUGAGCCAGAGGGGCCUCCGUAGGAAAGCUUUGCAUACAGAGCAGGAGAACAAGUCGAAGCUUAGUUACCUCUUUUAGUUAGUUGAUGACCCUAGUUUACUUUUGUAGUACUUUUAUCUUCCGCCUGAUCGAUGUAUUUCAUAUUUAUAUUUUCCAGCAUUCAAAUAGUCUUGUAUAAGGGCAUGCUGACCUAAAUAUUAUGCCUGGGAUGAUAUUCAUUUGUGAUA